UACGAAGGGGGCUAGCGUUGCUCGGAAUCACUGGGCGUAAAGGGUGCGUAGGCGGGCCUUUAAGUCAGGGGUGAAAUCCUGGAGCUCAACUCCAGAACUGCCUUUGAUACUGAGGAUCUUGAGUUCGGGAGAGGUGAGUGGAACUGCGAGUGUAGAGGUGAAAUUCGUAGAUAUUCGCAAGAACACCAGUGGCGAAGGCGGCUCACUGGCCCGAUACUGACGCUGAUGUGCGAAAGCGUGGGGAGCAAACAGG
rnacentral:rRNA from 1 species